CGAUAACUUCCCAUAUUUCUACAGCCAAACUCUUCACUAUGGCACUCCCCUGUCUCGGACGUCUUUUUCGCUGUCAAGCCAAUCUUGCGAUAACUUCCCAUAUUUCUACAGCCAAACUCUCCACUAUGGCACUCCCCUGUCUCGGACGUCUUUUUCGCUGUCAGAGCCAAUCUUGCGAGAACUUCCCAUAUCUCUACA